AAGUCGUAACAAGGUUUCCGUAGGUGAACCUGCGGAAGGAUCAUUGACAAAUCUAAACAUAUUGUUGCCUGGCGCUUGCGCCGGGUAUACAACAUAUCAACCUGUGAAUAGACAGCGCAAGCUGUUAUCAAGUGUAAAAACUUGAUACAACAUACAUAAACGUCUAAAGAAUGUCUUAACAAAACAAAAAAAGUACAACUUUUAGCAAUGGAUCUCUUGGCUUCUGUAACGAUGAAAAACGCAGC
rnacentral:misc_RNA from 1 species